GAGUUUGAUCCUGGCUCAGAUUGAACGCUGGCGGCAUGCUUUACACAUGCAAGUCGGACGGCAGCACAGAGAAGCUUGCUUCUUGGGUGGCGAGUGGCGAACGGGUGAGUAACAUAUCGGAACGUACCGAGCAGUGGGGGAUAACUAAUCGAAAGAUUAGCUAAUACCGCAUAUUUUCUGAGGAAGAAAGCAGGGGACCAUUUGGCCUUGCGCUGUUUGAGCGGCCGAUAUCUGAUUAGCUAGUUGGUGGGGUAAAGGCCUACCAAGGCGACGAUCAGUAGCGGGUCUGAGAGGAUGAUCCGCCACACUGGGACUGAGGCACGGCCCAGACUCCUACGGGAGGCAGCAGUGGGGAAUUUUGGACAAUGGGCGCAAGCCUGAUCCAGCCAUGCCGCGUGUCUGAAGAAGGCCUUCGGGUUGUAAAGGACUUUUGUCAGGGAAGAAAAGGGCGGGGUUAAUACCCCUGUCUGAUGACGGUACCUGAAGAAUAAGCACCGGCUAACUACGUGCCAGCAGCCGCGGUAAUACGUAGGGUGCGAGCGUUAAUCGGAAUUACUGGGCGUAAAGCGGGCGCAGACGGUUACUUAAGCAGGAUGUGAAAUCCCCGGGCUCAACCUGGGAACUGCGUUCUGAACUGGGUGACUAGAGUGUGUCAGAGGGAGGUAGAAUUCCACGUGUAGCAGUGAAAUGCGUAGAGAUGUGGAGGAAUACCGAUGGCGAAGGCAGCCUCCUGGGAUAACACUGACGUUCAUGCCCGAAA
rnacentral:rRNA from 1 species